CACGUAGGGGGCAAGCGUUGUCCGGAUUUAUUGGGCGUAAAGAGCUCGUAGGCGGCUCAGUAAGUCAGGUGUGAAACCUCCAGGCUCAACCUGGAGACGCCACCUGAUACUGCUGUGGCUAGAGUCCGGUAGGGGAGCGUGGAAUUCCUGGUGUAGCGGUGAAAUGCGCAGAUAUCAGGAAGAACACCAAUGGCGAAGGCAGCUCGCUGGAACGGUACUGACGCUGAGGCGCGAAAGCGUGGGGAGCGAACAGG
rnacentral:rRNA from 1 species